GGCAGCGUGGCCUAGUGGACAGAGCACUGGGCUGGGACUCCAGAGACGUGGAGUCACUGCCGUGGCCA
rnacentral:tRNA from 1 species